UGAGGGAUGACGGCCUUCGGGUUGUAAACCUCUUUCGCCAGGGACGAAGCGCAAGUGACGGUACCUGGAGAAGAAGCACCGGCCAAUUACGUGCCAGCAGCCGCGGUAAUACGUAGGGUGCGAGCGUUGUCCGGAAUUACUGGGCGUAAAGAGCUCGUAGGUGGUUUGUCGCGUCGUCCGUGAAAACUUGGGGCUUAACUCCAAGCUUGCGGGCGAUACGGGCAGACUUGAGUACUGCAGGGGAGACUGGAAUUCCUGGUGUAGCGGUGAAAUGCGCAGAUAUCAGGAGGAACACCGGUGGCGAAGGCGGGUCUCUGGGCAGUAACUGACGCUGAGGAGCGAAAGCGUGGGUAGCGAACAGGAUUAGAUACCCUGGUAGUCCACGCCGUAAACGGUGGGUACUAGGUGUGGGGUCCAUUUCACGGAUUCCGUGCCGUAGCUAACGCAUUAAGUACCCCGCCUGGGGAGUACGGCCGCAAGGCUAAAACUCAAAGGAAUUGACGGGGGCCCGCACAAGCGGCGGAGCAUGUGGAUUAAUUCGAUGCAACGCGAAGAACCUUACCUGGGUUUGACAUACACCAGAAAGCCAUAGAGAUAUGGCCCCCCUUGUGGUUGGUGUACAGGUGGUGCAUGGCUGUCGUCAGCUCGUGUCGUGAGAUGUUGGGUUAAGUCCCGCAACGAGCGCAACCCUUGUCCUGUAUUGCCAGCGGGUUAUGCCGGGGACUUGCAGGAGACUGCCGGGGUCAACUCGGAGGAAGGUGGGGAUGACGUCAAGUCAUCAUGCCCCUUAUGUCCAGGGCUUCACACAUGCUACAAUGGCGCGUACAGAGUGCUGCGAUACCGCGAGGUGGAGCGAAUCACUUAAAGCGCGUCUCAGUUCGGAUUGGGGUCUGCAACUCGACCCCAUGAAGUCGGAGUCGCUAGUAAUCGCAGAUCAGCAACGCUGCGGUGAAUACGUUCCCGGGCCUUGUACACACCGCCCGUCACGUCAUGAAAGUCGGUAACACCCGAAGCCGGUGGCCUAACCC
rnacentral:rRNA from 1 species